ensembl:lncRNA
GUAACCUGGAAGCUCCAGGGUUUGCAGUUUGGUUAAACUCUGUUGUUUGAAGUUACUCUUGAUUAAGCAAAACCAAUGGUGUACAUCCAUAGGCCAGUGGAGAUACUACUGAGCAGACAAUUGUCACAACUCAAAAAGCUAAUGAGAACGGGAGAGGGAGAAGCAAGUGGCACUGAGUCCAAAGUCAAGGAGUCCCAGGAGUUUCAGGAAAACAUUUUGCAACAACAUGGGGUUGGCCUGUUGAAAAAAGUGUUACUUUGAGGAAGCAUUGCUAAGAAACCAAGAGAGAGAAACCAGGUACCAGACAUGUCAUCUGAUCUACUGGAUUACUCACCUGUCACUCAUUGCAUAUUCCUAACCACUGGACAUCAGGGAAGCCCCUGUUCAUGGAUUCUUGAGGGUUAAAGACCCCCAAGAUGAAUAAGCUAGCGUAAGAAGUGAAGAAUGGCUCUUGGAAUUGUGCAACGUGACAGUCCUGCUUGCCAGGAAAGCCAGGAAAGCCAGACCGAGGACAAAGGAAACAGAGGAGAGCAGCAACAAGAGAACAGAGGAAGAUGGAUAUAGCUCUGGUCAACUAGCCUGAAACUCACAAAGACCUCCUAUUGGAGAGACCUCCUUUCAGCAUCAUCACCCCACCUCAUUAGAAAAUCCACGAGGAAGAACUCAGUUUGACCCAGCCUGGCCAUAUGCCCAUCUCUGUGGCUGAAGGAGUAGAGUACCAUGAUUCACAGCCACCAGUGGGGGAGGAGCAGCUUCUCAAAAGCAAGAAGGAAAAGAGUGCUGGCCUGACAAAAACCACAGAGGGUAAACUCCUUGGACAGCCAGAUUUCUGUAAGUCAAGCUGCUGUGUAAUAUCAACCUUAUCAAAAGUUUCAAUAAACAUUUACAGAAUCAAUUUGAAAGUGCUGGUCUGCCUAGUGUUCUGCAGUGACGUAGCAUUUUACAUUACUGGGCAACUGGCAAAAAAAACGUAUUGAUGUGGUUUUCUUAGAACAUAGCAACGUGCCACUUGGAGAAAGAAAAGAAAGUGGCAGCCAGCAACCUGUCACCUGUGGAACCUUCAGCUCUAUAAAUACACUUCUUGUCCAGGCUUUUGAGCAAAGUGCCUUGAUUCAAUAGUAGUUGCU